rnacentral:tRNA from 1 species
CGUCCGAUAGCUCAGUGGUAGAGCGGCCGCCCUGACCGGCGGCGGGCCCGGGUUCGACUCCCGGUGGGACGA